GUCAAUAUAACAGAGCUAAUGAUUUUUUAAGCUCACAUAUGAAAUAUUCCUUUUUCCCUCUUGAUAAUGCUAUAGUGGUAGUUGACAUGUUUCUCAAUAAAACGUUUCCUGGGACAUAUUUAAAGUCUGCUCUCCUCCCAAGCCUCGGUUUGGGCUACUUGGCAUGCUGGCAGAACACCAAUCCUAAAUGAAGCUUUUAACUACCCUUUCCAUCAGCUCAGCAGACAGCUCCAAAGAAUAGCUGCAAAACCCAUUUCACAAAGUCACCAAUUUGCACUGGCUUCAGCUGCAUUUACAAAUGUCCCUUCAGCCUUCCAUUUUCCACCAGUGAGCGUCAUUACUGGGGGCAAGCCAGGAGGGAUGGCAAGCAAGUGCCUAGAAUUCUGCAAUCUCAAAUUAAAGCAUUGUCCUCUAACAAGUGGCAAUGUGAAGGAAUCAACAUGGAAAAAUGGAUCAUAAGAUUAAAGAAAACAUAAA
rnacentral:lncRNA from 1 species